rnacentral:miRNA from 4 species
ACCCUGUAGAUCCGAAUUU